rnacentral:ncRNA from 2 species
CGUCACUUGGGCCUCGCUGGUUCCUGUCGAUGACAGGUGAAAAGGGAAUGCGACAGGCCGUCAAGGCCCCAAGCAGCCGCCCCCGCGACCGUGACCGGAGAGUUCCGUCCGAUGCCACUGACCCUUCGGGGCCGGGAAGGCGGGCGGGGCGCAGGGGCCUCAGGCCCUCGACUCCGCAAGCCGGGAGACCUGCCAGCACGAUGAUGUAACG